UACGAAGGGGACUAGCGUUGUUCGGAAUCACUGGGCGUAAAGGGCGCGUAGGCGGUGUGUCAAGUCAGGCGUGAAAGCCCCGGGCUCAACCUGGGAACCGCGCUUGAGACUGGCACGCUCGAGUUCGGGAGAGGAUGGUGGAAUUCCCAGUGUAGAGGUGAAAUUCGUAGAUAUUGGGAAGAACACCGAUGGCGAAGGCAGCCAUCUGGACCGACACUGACGCUGAGGCGCGGAAAGCGUGGGGAGCAAACAGG
rnacentral:rRNA from 1 species